rnacentral:rRNA from 1 species
AGAGUUUGAUCCUGGCUCAGGAUGAACGCUGGCGGCGUGCCUAACACAUGCAAGUCGAGCGAUUCUCUUCGGAGAAGAGCGGCGGACGGGUGAGUAACGCGUGGGUAACCUGCCUCAUACACAUGGAUAACAUACCGAAAGGUAUGCUAAUACAAGAUGAUAUAAGAGAUUCGCAUGGAUUUCUUAUCAAAGCUCCGGCGGUAUGAGAUGGACCCGCGUCUGAUUAGCUAGUUGGUAAGGUAACGGCUUACCAAGGCGACGAUCAGUAGCCGACCUGAGAGGGUGAUCGGCCACAUUGGAACUGAGACACGGUCCAAACUCCUACGGGAGGCAGCAGUGGGGAAUAUUGCACAAUGGGCGAAAGCCUGAUGCAGCAACGCCGCGUGAGCGAUGAAGGCCUUCGGGUCGUAAAGCUCUGUCCUCAAGGAAGAUAAUGACGGUACUUGAGGAGGAAGCCCCGGCUAACUACGUGCCAGCAGCCGCGGUAAUACGUAGGGGGCUAGCGUUAUCCGGAUUUACUGGGCGUAAAGGGUGCGUAGGUGGUUUCUUAAGUCAGGAGUGAAAGGCUACGGCUCAACCGUAGUAAGCUCUUGAAACUGGGAAACUUGAGUGCAGGAGAGGAAAGUGGAAUUCCUAGUGUAGCGGUGAAAUGCGUAGAUAUUAGGAGGAACACCAGUAGCGAAGGCGGCUUUCUGGACUGUAACUGACACUGAGGCACGAAAGCGUGGGGAGCAAACAGGAUUAGAUACCCUGAUAGUCCACGCCGUAAACGAUGAGUACUAGGUGUCGGGGGUUACCCCCCUCGGUGCCGCAGCUAACGCAUUAAGUACUCCGCCUGGGGAGUACGCUCGCAAGAGUGAAACUCAAAGGAAUUGACGG